AUUGAACGCUGGCGGCAGGCUUAACACAUGCAAGUCGAGCGGGGUGAUGGUGCUUGCACUAUCACUUAGCGGCGGACGGGUGAGUAAUGCUUAGGAAUCUGCCUAUUAGUGGGGGACAACAUCUCGAAAGGGAUGCUAAUACCGCAUACGUCCUACGGGAGAAAGCAGGGGAUCACUUGUGACCUUGCGCUAAUAGAUGAGCCUAAGUCGGAUUAGCUAGUUGGUGGGGUAAAGGCCUACCAAGGCGACGAUCUGUAGCGGGUCUGAGAGGAUGAUCGGCCACACUGGGACUGAGACACGGGCCAGAGUCCUACGGGAGGCAGCAGUGUGGAAUAUUGGACAAUGGGGGGAACCCUGAUCCAGCCAUGCCGCGUGUGUGAAGAAGGCCUUAUGGUUGUAAAGCACUUUAAGCGAGGAGGAGGCUCGUUUGGUUAAUACCCAAGAUGAGUGGACGUUACUCGCAGAAUAAGCACCGGCUAACUCUGUGCCAGCAGCCGCGGUAA
rnacentral:rRNA from 1 species